UACGUAGGGUGCAAGCGUUAAUCGGAAUGACUGGGCGUAAAGGGUGUGUAGGCGGUCUGCUAAGUCUGAUGUGAAAUCCCCGGGCUCAACCUGGGAACUGCGUUGGAAACUAGCAAACUAGAGUACGUAAGAGGGGGGUGGAAUUCCACGUGUAGCAGUGAAAUGCGUAGAGAUGUGGAGGAACACCGAUGGCGAAGGCAACCAUCUGGACCGACACUGACGCUGAGGCGCGAAGGCUAGGGGAGCGAACGGG
rnacentral:rRNA from 1 species